rnacentral:lncRNA from 1 species
UCAAAUCAGGCUAUGAUUAUCUUGUAAUUUUAUUGAAGUAGCCUACAUGUGCUUAUGUAGUGGGUAACUGGUGCUAACACCAUUAGGAGCCACAGGAGGGGUUGAUUGAAAUUUUCUUAAAAAAAGAGACUAAUGCACCUGAGUAAUCACUGACCUAGGGUUGUGGGCUUUAUUUUUUUUUGCAUAAAGAUUCAUUUAGUUGCCCAAUAUAUUCCUGCAAAGAACUAUUGAAGAAAAUUGAUUUCAAAAGCAUGUCUUGUUUUUCUCUUUCCCCCCCCCCCCCCCAACUCCUUUAACCACUUUUCACAUUUCCCAUGUGUUCAAAGAUAAUGAAUAAUGUUACAGGGAAACGCAGGAAGAAAAAAAUUAUUGGGCGCAUCUUCUUACUUGUGAGCGAGCAGGAGUGUGUCAUGGCUUUCCCAAUAACAGGCAAGGUGUUUACCAGCUGAACGGAUUCUCAGGGGUGGCCGAACUUUGAUACUGAUCUCUUUAGGUGUCAAUGAAAACAUCUCAGGAAGACCUUAUUGAUAGAAAAAUGUAGAGAAAUGUGUUUAGUACAACAUCAUUCUUGCUGACCCUGAGGAGGGAUCCUCGUCUUAUAAAUAAGCUGGAUAGAACACCAAGGCCUAAAUCAAGAAUUACCAACACCUGCAAGCGACAAACAUCAAAUAUUUAACCAACUCAUAUCAAAUUCAGAAGGGAAUAUAAACAUAUACAGUUGCUGAUCAUUAUCCCGUUUCACAAUGAAGCAUAAUCAAUGUAUAUGGAAUUAUGUGAGAGUUCAAACCUAAGACUUCCCAUGUUAAUUUGUCAUUCCUCUAUGAAAGAAAACUAUAUAGAUUAUGAGAAACUUUUGNNNNNNNNNNNNNNNNNNNNNNNNNNNNNNNNNNNNNNNNNNNNNNNNNNNNNNNNNNNNNNNNNNNNNNNNNNNNNNNNNNNNNNNNNNNNNNNNNNNNUUUUUUUUUUGAAAUUUUUCCCAAAAUUUUUUUUUUCGCCGUGAAAAAUUAGGGGAAAGUUUUUUUAAAUUUUUUGGGGUUUUUUUUUUUAUAUAAAUUUAAAAAAAAAAAAAAGGGGGUUCACCCCUUUUUAAAAAUUUCCCCGUUUUUUUUUUAAAAAAAAAACCCCCCCCCCUUUUUUUUUUCCUUUUUUUUUUUUUUUAAAAAAAAAUAAUAUAAAAAAAAAUCCCUUUUUUUUUAAAAUUUUCCCUUUUUUUUUUUAUAAAAAACCCGUUUUUUUUUUUUUUUUUUUUUUUUUAAAUUCCCCCCAUUUUUUUUUUUUUGGGGAAAAAGGUUUUAACCCCCUUUGGGCCCCCCGGGGGGGUUUUUUAAAUUUUUUUUAAAAAAAAAAAAAUAUCCCCCCUGUAUUUUCCUUCCCCUGGGUUUUGGGGUUUUUUUUUUUUUUGAAAAAAAUUUUUUUUUUUUCCCCAAAUUUUUCCCCCAAAAAAUUUUUAAAAAAAAUUUUUUUAAAAACCUUUUUUUUUUUUUUUUUUUCCCCCCCCCCCCCCCCCCCCCCCCCCAACCAAGGAGGAAAAUGUCGGGAUAUAUCGGGAGGAGUCGACACGAUAUCUCGUGGAGAAAAAUCGGAGGGGAGAUAUUUCCGCAAAAAUCGCCAAAAUAUCGGCGAUAUAUCGGCUCAGGGAGAUAUAUCGGCGAAGAUAAAUUGUCGAUUUUUUGGCGAUAUUUCCCCUCCUUCAUGCAACGUGAUCUGACGGCCUAGAUCACGCUCGUGUUGAUCCGACGGCCUAGAUGUGAUUCCAAUGGUAAUAUGGCGAUCCAACGACCAGAUUGCUCCUAGUUUUUGAUCCAACGGCCAAAAUUAAUUUUCAACGGUAAAUUAAUGUUCCAACGGCUAUUUUGGCCAAAAUUUCUUCUAUAAAUAGCCCAAAUUUCAUCUAUUUCAUCCAUUUUUGCUUUCAUUCUUCAUUUGCUCUCUCAUUACUCCAAUUUUUAUUAAGGUUGCUCAAUUAUUUAAUCAUUUUAAGGUAUAUUUGUUUUAAAUUGUAAUUAAUUUUGUUUGCAGUUGUAAUUAAUUCAUGUAUUUUCAAUUAAUUAGUAUGUUUGCAAUAUGGAUGAUUUAAUGCUAUUUUUACAUUCAAUUGUAAUUAAUUUUUACAUUUUUAUUGAAUUAACUUAGGUUAAUUUGAUUAUUUAAUUAUAAAUUGAUAUGUUUAUUUUAGAUGAUUAUUUGUGAUUUAUUUUCACAUUUAGAAUUAAAUUAAACUAGUUAACUUAGCUAAAUUAUUUAAUUAACAUGAACUAGUAUAUUUUGAAUAUGAAAUAUGUUUAUUUAAUGAAUUUAAUGUGUACAAAUUAUUGAUAUUUAAUGAAAUGAAGUAUUUUAUGUGACUUUAUAAUGAGAACAAUUACAAAAUUAACAUUUCUUAUAGAUCGACAUGAUAUAAUUACAUCUAAUAUCACAAAUUAUAUCAUAUGUAUAUCAAAUUUUUCAAUAAAACAACUUUAAAAUGUCCAUUAUACUUUUAAUUAUAUCAUUAUGGGGUUUUCCUUGUAUUUCCAUGAGUUUUUAACAAUUUUAAGCCUACCGAUAUUUUUUUCCAAAAUAUUUGUCAAUAUAUCUCCGAUAUAUCCGAUAUAUCCGUAAAAUCGAAGUACCGAUAUAUCCGUGAUUACCAAUAUUUUCAUCCUUGCCCCCAACACACACAUGCCCCCUUAAUAUUUUUGGUAGCUACUGAAGUUGGUUGAAUUGAUUCAAUUAACUGAUUGACGUUCCACAAAUUUGGAACUUAUAGAUUAUCAAUCUGUGUUGCAAACUGGCAUAUAAAAGAAAAAAUCAUGUGUGUUGUGAACUGAAUUGAUUUGUCUUACAAGUGUUAAUUAUUUCUACAUGCUUCAAAUGUUCCAGGUCUUUUGGGAUUAUUAAACGGUUUGACAACAAUUCCAAAAAACACCUGGUAAGGGAAGAUUUCCUGUGUUCUGUAAGAUUAGUUGACAAUAUGUUUAUAUUCAUAUAAGAUACAUCUCUGUUGUUGCAGAUCAUGUUUGAAGAUGGUGAUGGGGAAUUUCUUGACAUGUCAAAAGAAGAUUGGGAAUUUGUAACUUUAUGAUGUAAUAUGGGGUGAGUUUGUCCUUUACUUAACAGUGCUUCUAUUUCAAAGUUGGUAUUGGAUCUAAUACUGUAAUGCUAUAUUCUCAUUAUUUCUGUAUAUAUACUUAAAAAUUGACAAAAUAUGAUAUGGUAUGAUUCUUACAAGUGCACUACAGUUUCAGCUAAAAUGAUACGGAUCACUGAUAUGUAUUGCAUCUCAUGACACAUAUAAUGCACAGUACCAUAACAAUAUAAUAUGUUAAGGUUGAAAGUCAAUGAAAAAAAGGAAGGGAAGAGAGAAUGAUGACAUGGGUGUUGAAAGCAAAGAAAAUAAGUGAAAUUUGAUUAUUGUUGCUAUGAAUGUUGGGGAAAUGUGGUUUGAAUCGAACACAUGGUUGCUUGGAUGAUGUAAAUAUUGACCAUGAGAAUGAUGAUGACCAAGAACAAAAGUUUCUUCUUAAUCUAUUAUAGUUUUCUUUCAUAGAGGAAUGACAAUUAACAUGGGAAGUCUUAGUUUUGAACUUCUCACAUAAUUCCAUAUACAUUGAUUAUGCUUUCAUUGUUGAAACGGGAUAAUGAUCAGCAACUGUAUAUGUUUAUAUUCCCUUCUGAAUUUGAUAUGAGUUGGUUAAAUAUUUGAUGUUGUCGCCUUGCAGGUGUUGGUAAUUCUUGAUUUAGGCCUUGGUGUUCUAUCCAGCUUAUUUAUAAGACGAGGAUCCCUCCUCAGGGUCAGCAAGAAUGAUGUUGUACUAAACACAUUUCUCUACAUUUUUCUAUCAAUAAGGUCUUCCUGAGAUGUUUUCAUUGACACCUAAAGAGAUCAGUAUCAAAGUUCGGCCACCCCUGAGAAUCCGUUCAGCUGGUAAACACCUUGCCUGUUAUUGGGAAAGCCAUGACACACUCCUGCUCGCUCACAAGUAAGAAGAUGCGCCCAAUAAUUUUUUUCUUCCUGCGUUUCCCUGUAACAUUAUUCAUUAUCUUUGAACACAUGGGAAAUGUGAAAAGUGGUUAAAGGAUCUUGCUCUUGAAAUCUGAUGUGAAAAGUUGAGCUUAAUUAGAUGCUUUAGAUAAUCUAGUUGGAAGAUGUCGAAUUCUAAUGCUUGGAAGCAUCCAUUGUACUGAACCUUUUGUGGUUGGAUCAUCCUUGUAUUUCUAUGUUUAAUGGCGUUUGUUUGGCUUAAGGUAGAGGACAAUGGAGUGGGAAACAAUCUCCCUCAUGUACUGAAAAAUUUCGAUAUAACCAACUGUAUUGAAAUCUGACUGUAAAAUAAAGCAGCUACUAAUUACUAUUAUUGUUUGUUGUGUCAUUUAAUUAUUGAGCUGGCUGCUUUUCCUUCUUUUGUUUUGACUGUAGGUCAAAGUGGUGGCCCUUUCACCUUUUUUUUUAAACUUAGAUGGUGUUUGUUUUUUUAGUUUUUUAUUGAAAAUAAUUUGUUUGUUUUUCUACUCUUUUAUAAAUUUUUUACUAAACAGAAAAAAUUAAAAUAUGUAGUUUUUUCUAAAUAAAAAAAAUAAAAUAUUGAUUUUUUUUUACUUUUUAAUACUUAAUAUAAAUAAAAUACUAUAAAAAUAAAUAAUAUAAUAUUUAACAUUAUUAACGUUAGAAUUAAGUAAAAAAAUAAACAUAUCAAAGUAAUAGAAAUGUAGAAAAACUUAAGAUGCUUUGCCACCCUACCAAUCUCUUUCUUUUCUUAUAUUUGUUAUUUAUAAUAAAUUUGUUCAAAUUUAGGCAUAUAUUUUAAAUCUUACGUGACUAAUAAUAAAAUAUAUUAUAUCCAUGUCACAUUUUGUUGUUAUACAGACUUUUAUUUUUAAUAUUUAUUUCAUGAAUUUAUUCUUUUUGAGUCCUUUUUACUUCAGAAAUGAAUGCUUAACAUUUCUUUGACAAGUCAAAUGCCAGUCCUGUUAAUCAAUUUCCUGUUCCACGAAGACAAAAAACAAACAAACAAAAAAGAAAAAAAUAGAAGCUUCCGUAUUUGGUCACCGACCCUCCCACGUGAAUUGAAUUCAACUUCUGUUUGUCAUUGUAGAUGUAAGUUUUUGAACUCCUCGACCGCUUCUCACCCUUUUUAUUAAUACCUCCUCUCCCCCAUAAUUCUACUCAAUCCCUUCAUCACAACCCCCAUUUCUUUGUGCCAAAAAUUCAUCAAUGGAGGAGAAAUGGUGGUUUGUUUUUGUAUUUUUUGCAUCUCUUUUAUUUGUGAGGUCCAAGUUCAAGUCCCGGUCCAAGUCCAAGUCCAAUCUCCCUCCAGGGCCAAGUACAUUUCCGAUCAUCGGAAAUUUAUUAUGGUUGCGAAAAUCUUUUUCAGAACUCGAGUAUGUGGUAAAGACUCUGCAUGAAAAGCAUGGUCCGAUUGUGAGCCUCCCCUUCGGGUUUAACCCGGCCAUCUUUGUGGCUAGUAACUCCUUGGCUUACCAAGCUCUAGUCCAAAACGGAGCCGUUUUUGCCGACCGCCCUCCCCUACCCAUCACCAGCAAGAUCAUGGCCAGCAGCCAGUGCACCAUAAGCUCCGCCCCCUACGGCCCUGCCUGGCGCCUCCUCCGCCGCAAUCUCACCUCCGAGAUCCUCCACCCCUCGCGCGUGAGGCUAUACUCCCGCGCCCGGAAGUGGGUCCUGGACAUUCUCGUCGCCGGCCUCCGUGAGGAGGCCGAAGGCCGGGACAACGUGGUUUUAGUGGUGAAGCACUUCCACUUCGCCAUGUUCUGCUUGCUGGUUCUCAUGUGCUUCGGCGACGACCUUGGGGAAGCCAAGAUCAGAGAGAUUCAAGGCAUGGAGAGUCGAGUCCUUCAGAGUUAUCACAACUUUAAAAUCCUCAAUUUCUUCCCGGCUAUCGGAAAAUUCUUGUUCCACAAGCGGUGGGAGAAGUUCAUGCAGCUGAGGAAGGAUCAUGAGGACGUGCUCAUCCCUCUGAUUAGAGCUCGGCAACCCUGCAAGAAGACGGAAACGGUGAGCAAACCAAAUCCAUCCAUAACGUGCUACGUCGACACUUUACUGGACCUGCAACUCCCGGACGAGAAGAGGAAGCUCACAGAAGGGGAGAUGGUAAGCUUGUGCUCGGAGUUUCUCAACGCCGGCACCCACACCACGGACGCUCCGCUGCAGUGGAUCAUGGCGAACCUGGUGAAGUACCCGCACAUUCAGGCCAAGCUUUUCGAGGAAAUUAGCGGGGUUGUGGGGGAAGGAGAGGACGAAGUGAAGGAGGAAGAUUUGCAGAAGAUGCCAUACUUGAAGGCGGUGGUGUUAGAGGGUCUCCGGCGGCACACUCCGGCCCACUUUCUGGUACCGCAUGCAGUGACCAAAGACGUGAUAUUAGAUGGGUAUGUGAUCCCAAAGGACGCCAAAGUAUUCUUCAUGGCAGCUGAAAUGGCGUGCAAUCCCGAGGUGUGGGAAGACCCAAUGGAGUUCAAGCCGGAGAGGUUCUUGAACAGCAAUAAUAAUGGUGAAACAUUUGAUAUAACUGGUAGCAGAGAGAUAAAGAUGAUGCCUUUUGGUGCAGGGAGGAGGAUAUGUCCAGGGUAUGGUUUAGGUUUGCUGCAUUUGGAGUAUUUUGUGGCGAACUUGGUGUGGAAAUUUGAAUGGAAGGCUGUGGGUGAAGACGGAGUUGAUCUUUCAGAAAGGCCUCUUGUGUCUCUGCUACCAACCACCAUGAAGAACCCGUUGCAGGCUCGCAUUUCUCCAAGGUUAUCAGCCAGGACUGCAAUGGAGUAAUUGCACACCUGUCCACCAUAUUUUGAUGGUGUACUCCUACUAAUAAUAAUUUAAUAAGAACAAUGAUGAUGAUAAUUCAUUGGAGGUGCUUGCAUGAGUGGGUUAUGAUAUGUGUUUUUGUAUAUUAGUAGGUCGUAGUGGGGAUAUGAGCCUUUUAUCUAUGAGAUCAUAAAUUCAGAAUGAUGAAACAAAUUAGCAAAGACGAGAUCUUUGCUUAGAGGGGGGAAAAUUGAAAAAUAUUAUGAAUCGGAGAUUAUCAAGAAAAUGAAAUACGUACCCAACUUUUAGUCAUGUUUGAUUCCUAGAAAAUACCAUUGAAAGACAAAAAUUUGUUAAGAAAAAUAAUUUUCUCAUACUCAAUUAUGAUAUAAAAAAUAGAAAAAAAAAGUCUAAUAUAAUUAAAAUUAAUAAGAAGAUCAUAUAUUUUUAAAUUAUUUAAUUUUUACAUCAAAGAGUUAAAUAGAUAAAAUGAAUUUAGAGUAAUAUAUAAAAAUAAUUUAUUGACUUUAAAACUUUUUUUUUUUCUCUAUUUUCUUUUCCACACAUUUCUCUUCGAACUUUUUAGAACCAAACAUAGCCUUAAUGAUGGAUACCUAUUUGGAUACAUUUUAUAUAAAAAUAUUUUAUCAUAUAUAAGUAAAAUAGAAACUAAAAAUGUAUUAAAUACAUCAAAUGUAUCUAUUUUUUCUCUUUAUUUUUUUUAUUUUUUAUUUUUUUAUCAUUUUCCCUUAUAUAUUAUCUAGAACUAAACAUAGCAUAAGUUUAUGUUCUUGUAAAAAUUGAGGGAAGUAAAAUAUGGAGGAGAAAGAGGAAAAGAAAAAGGUAAGAAAAAAUUAUAGAAUUUUUAUCUUAUAUUUAAAAAUUUUGAGGGAAUAAAUAAAUAAAUUAAUAUAGAGGAAAAUGCAUGGAGCCAUGAGUGGAUAUGGAUGAAGUAAUGGGGUAAGAAGACUAGGAUUGCAGUGAUGAAUGGAGAGGUGGGGUUGAGUAGGUGAUCAUGAGAGGGAAUGGAUGGCAAGAGUAUGGAGAGGCGCAGGCUGAUUGGUGGGACAAACGAGGCUGGCCAAAUAUGGAGUGGAGAGAGAGAGAGAGAGAGAGAGAGGGAGGGAGGGAGGGAGGGAGAUAGGGAGCAAAAUAGGAAGUAAGGAAUGAGAGAUGGGUAGUGUUGGUGUUAUGAAUAUGGGGCAGUGAAAAGCUAGGGAAGUUGUUGAGGUCGUAGGGAAGUAACCAAAGUGGGAAUGUGUGAGUGGGGGAUGAGGAGGUUUCCAUAGUUGGCUGAAAGACACAAUCAAACGACGAUUUAUUGUCAAUAAUGUGUGAAAUAUCUAUGAGAUAAACAACAAUUUUAAACGUGAAGUAUCAAAAGUGGUGGGGGUAAGGAUGCCCAAUUAAUGAAGUAGUGUGAGUUCUGUUUUGACGAUGUACGUCGAUUGUGAUAUCGGCCCAGGCAACGUGUUAGGUGUAUAUGGAGGUCAGAUGAAAUGUUGGAUCUUCAUUAAAUAUUAUCAGUAGAAGAUUUAGAAAAAAUUUCAACAAUUUUCUUAAACUUUGGAAAGAAUGUGAUAACUUAAAAUUUAUACAACAAAGGGACAAUCAUGAAUAUUUGAUGAAGUGAUCAAAUGAUCAAGUGAGUAUGAAGACUAUUUUGAGAGGCAAUGCAAAUUAUUGAAUGACAAGUGACUAUGGUGGUGUUUGUUUUUUUGGUUUAAUUCUAAAUAGAACUUACAUUUAACUUAAUACUAAAUAAUGUUUAAUAGUAUUAAGUAUUAAGUUGUUUGAUUUUUUAAUAUUUCUAUUAAGUGUUAAACACUAAUAUCUUAAUAUUUUAAUGUAUUAAAAAAAAAAUAAUUUAAAGUAUUUCUAAAAAGUUCAAAAUAAUAAAAUUGUUAUAAUAAAUAAUUUAUCAUUAUUAUCCUUACAAAAAAUAAUUAAUAUAUUUAUUUUUUAUAUAAUUAAAAUAAAAUAUUUAAACUUAAUAAUCUAAAAAAUAAUGGAUUGAUAAAACCUAAAUCAAAUCAAAGAAAAAAACAUAACAAUUCAAGUACAUAUUUUCAAAUAUCAAAACACAUCACAUUUUAUGCUAAUAUCUAAACAUUGCAUUUCUUACAAUGGUAAAAAGCUAAAAAUGACAAGUUAAUUAAAUACUUGAAAAAGUUCAUUUGUGAUUUGGUCUCAAAACCGUUGCAUGAAUUCUUGAUCAGAUGCUGCAAAAAAACUACUUGUAGUUGAAUUUUGAUUUUGAUUUGUAUUGUCACUUUCCAAUUCCACUUCAUUGUCAUAUUCAGAAAAUAAUCUAUCUGCAACUGAGAUUUGUCGAAGAAAAUUGUGAAUGGAGAAGCAUGUCAUGACAAUUUUUGUUUGAGUAGUAAACAAAUAAGGUGUCAUUCUCUUUAAUAUUGGGAAACACGCCUUAACAACACCAAAAGCACGUUCAAUGACAUUUCUUAAUCUUGCAUGACAUUGGUUGAAUAUCUCCCUUUUUCCUCUAGCUUUAUCAUCACUAUGAAAAUCACUCAACCCAAAUUAAAUUCAAAUAGUAGCAUUAAAUUAGAGAUGAUAAAUAUAUAGUUUGGAUAAUGGAAGAAUAGACAACAAAUAUCAAUCCAUUCACAUCUAACCAUUCUAUGUAGAGAAUGAAUUCAUCUAACACAAGAAGCAUUAAAACCCAAAUUAUGCCAACAACACCUAAAGACAGUUUAUAAAAACUGUCCAAAGUCCCUUAAGAUGAUUUUUUUUAAAGCAUUCAAAUAUGGACAUGCACAAAGAGGAAGGUAGGAAGGGUGGGAAGCAUAUAUAUAUAUAUAUAUAUAUAUAUAUAUAUAUAUUUUUUUUUUUUUUCAUUUCUAAAAUUAUUGCCACCUCCAUCUGGUAGUUGGCUGACAAACCAACACCAAAUGAGCUGGGUCAGUCCCAACUGAAAUCUGCUCUGUGACCCGGGAGAGCUGCACUUGUGAGAGGAGUGUGAGAAAGAGAGAGAGAGAGUGAGGUGUGUGUGAAAGAAAUGGUCUGAGUUGUUUGUGAAAUGAAAUAAACCUCCUAUAGUCUUUAGACUGAAUAAUGGUUGUGUGCAGUGCAGAAUUCAGAUUGUGGAUGGAUAAUCAAGUGAAAGAAAAGCAAAACAAGGGGUUCAUCUCAUUGAUUGACAAUGCUGUUCCUCUAUAUGACCGAGAAUAUGCAUUGGGUCUAACUUCAAUGGAUUAUUUGAAUAACCUGGAAAGGUAAUGGAUUUACAUUUAAUAUGUGUAUUGCUGCUUCUUCAGAUAUAUAUGCAAUGAAAGAUUAAAAAAAAAGAAUAAAAAAUUAAAACAUAAAUAUAUAUAGGUGUUUGACACGGUUACCUCUUGAAUUUUAUCCCGCAACAUUUCUGUGUGCUGCAAUAUCACUGUUGGUUUUAAGAUUGUUGUGAGUGAUUGACACAGAAAAGUUUGACAGUUUUAUUGCAUAAACUUUGGCAUGCUUGGGUGAUAUCAUCUUCUGUGGUUGAAAAAGUCUUAAUGCUCAUUACCAUCAGAUCCCUAGCUCCCCUCCUAAUGUCUUAAUGCCUGGGAUAGGGUUGUGACUUUUUCACAUUACAUGGAUGCUUCAGAUUUUGUGGAGUACCUUUUCAGGCAUGAUAAGUGAGCAUGGAAUGAGACGUGUGUUUAGAUUUUCUCCUUUUCAGAUCCAGGAUCAAAUAAAAAACAAGGGAGUACUGAACUUUAACAAUUCUUCCAAAAUAGUAUGAAAAAAAACAAAACAAAACAAAAAACAAUCUUCUCUAGCUGUUUUCAACUACCCUCUUUCCUCUGUUCUUUCACAUGUAUACUAUUUUCUUCAUUUGUUUUAUCAUUUUCAUCCAUCUGUAACAUGUUGGGUGCUCAGUUUUCUUCACUAAGUAUGAACAAAGAAGUCCUCCUAGGGAGUCAUUGUCUCUAAUUAUCAUCCACCCCUUUUAGUCUAUUACCCAUUAUUUAAUGGGGCAUGAAAAGACCAUCCCCAAGAAAAUGACAUCAUGUUGGAGCAUUGACGUGCCCAAACAACAUUGGUUUGCCUGUGCCUACACCAGAGAUUUGUUUGGCAGAGUGAAAUCAAAUUUUACUUUUUGUACUUGUUUGAUUUACCUCUUAACAAGUGUGGGAUUCCAUAAACUAAACACUCUCCUCAAUAGAAGAACAGAUUUGUCGUGCAGUUGAAAACUCCUCUCCAUUCAAUUUAUGAGUUCAAUAAUAGCUGACUUGGAGAUUGCUAGUGUGGUCUCAACAACCAUGUGCAGUAGAUGAGAAAAUUCUUGGAAGUGAUUUCGUGGAGUAUAAUCAUGUGAUUCUAGAAGCUAAAGACACCCAGAAGCUAUGUUCAGGUAACCCAGGCAAAAGAAAGCUUUACAACCCUUAAUAUCUUUAGCCCAACUCUUGAUUGAGUUGAAAUAACCUGUUCUCUCCUACUUAAAGACACCCUUUUUAUACACAAAGUUUUUCGAAAUUGUCAGGAAUGUCAAUAGGUAUAAUUAUUUUGCUGAAUGUUGAAGUAUUCUAAAUACUCAAGGUUUAGCCUAUUCAUAAACAUUUCAUCCAAGUUCCAGAGUCUUAACACUACCCUCUAGAGGAUCACAAAUGUUCCAUGCCCAUCUAAUGAGGGUUUUGGACAGUGCCAUUAGCAAUUUCCUAAACACAGUUGGAGCCUUACUCUAGAACCAUCUAUAAAUCCUGGCAGAGGAUUCAUUUCUGUAAUUCACACUUGCCUAUAUAGGUGCCAGGAAUGUCAAAAGACACUACACAACUGCUGGUGUGCCCCAACCAAUAAGGUGCAAUGUAGAACAGAAAUGUCUUUGAGUGUGUUCUUAGGAAAAAACAAAAACCAAAAUGACCCUUCAAUCUACACACAUGAAUGCAGCCUUGUUUCAUUUGACAACAUCCCACUAUAUUUAACAUGGAGAGAUUUUACGACAAAUAUAUAUCACACUACUUUUAUUCCCAGAAACCAGGUUUUCAUCAAGUUAUGGUUCUGGGAGUAAAUCAAACUCCUCAUGCUUGGGAGGAAUAAUUUUAUUUUUGAUUAUCACUUCACACAUGCACACAUAUACAUUUGAUUAUCACAAUAGAAAAGAUUGUUUCCAGCAACCAAGUACAAGUGAAUGACAGAGCUUCACUUUGCUCAUUGGACAAGUGAAUGACACAGUACAUGAGCAACAAAAAACAAUUCAAGCAGGCAGAAAACAGCCCACAAAAUCACACAUAGUUCUUCAAAGCUAGAACCGAAACACACGAAUGCAUUCACAAAACCCAUGAGCAUCUCUACAAAAUUCAUUGAACCUGUAAACCCAUCAAAAGUGACUUGGACAAAAAGAAACCAGAUCACUCAAAAAAAUAAAAUCUGCAUUUUAGUUCAAUUAGAUUCUAAAAAAUUCCUAUUAUCUUUUCCUUUGUAGGUUCCAAACCCACUCCUACAAGAUCAAAAUUCCCCACAAAAUCCCAAAAUAAACCAUUGGCAUGAGAAUCAUAAAGAAUCAUACUAGAGAAGAUAUUAAUAAACCAUUUCCAAACAGAAAACAACUACCUAUGGUUUAACCCCAUUGUUGAGAAAGAGCAAGAACGAAAACUGAAACCUAAAUAAAGAGAGAAAAUGGGGAAGACAUUACCUUGAAAAAGCUUGGUGAGGGUUGUGGAACCAAUGAGCUACACAGGGAUGAGGUGAGGGUUGGGGAUCACCGGUUGCAAUUAAGACUAGAGAACUACAAGGGAUGGACGUUAGGCGUUGGGUUGCAAUUGUGAUUUGGGGGAGGUUUAAAAAACUUGUUUUUUCUAUUUAGAAAAAAACCAAAUAUUUUGGUUUUUUCUAUUUAGCCAAAAAUUUUAAAAAUUCAGUAAUAAGUCAUCAAAAACUAGAAAAACAAACAACCUAAAUUUUGAAAGCAAAAUGCUUUUAGCAAAAAGCCAAAAAAAACAAACGCCACCUAAUUAAGUCUCAUGCCAUUUGUCAAAAGAGGCUUUAACACUCAUGCAAGUUCUUUUUAUCCAAGUAAUAGAAGUGUAACGGUCGACAUCGGAGUUGGAGAUUGAUGUUGAAACCAUUUAUAAUCGCUUACUUGUGUCCUCAUAGCUUUAAAAAACAUUUAUAAGAUUAAGAGCAGUCCAUACUUAUAUAGUGUAAGAAAUUUUCUCUCAUAUUCGAUGUUGAAUAUCACAAAAAAUUGAUUAAUUAUAUUUUUGAUAAUGAGAUAGUUAUGAUUCAAUGUGUAUAAUUGGUUGGAUUUGGCUUUGAAACCAUAAAGAGGUAAAGAAGUUGAAUGACAAUAAGUACAUGUAAUUGCAAUACACUCAAAUCUUUUAAAUAUAUACAUAAACAUGACUAUACAAGAGAUGCAUAGAUUAUACAAAGAAUACAUACAUUGUUCCUAAACUUAAGGGUAAUGAUUGAUUGCUCUUGAUUUGUGAGUGAGUUUGAUUCUCUCAUAAAAUACAUUUUUUAAAAAUUUCUUCAUAUUUUUAACAUUCUCUCUCUCUCUCUCUUUCUCUCUCUCUCUUUUUAAUACGAUAAUUAUUUUUUUAAUAUUUUUUUUUCUUGUUUAGUGCUUUUCAAAAAUCAAACAUAUAGCCUAAAAAAUUUAAAAAUAUUCAUAUUUUUGUUUAGAUAGAUCAUAUCUAAGAUUUUUCAAAAAUAAUUUUUUUUUUCUAAUUUGACAAUUAUUUUAUUUUUUUAAUCAAAUAUUGCUAAUGAAACUAGGGUUGUUUUUUGAAGUUACCUCUACCCAAUUCAUUUUUUAAACUAACAUUUUGCCAAUCUCAUCACCAUAGACAUGCAUCAACCACUCUAGCACUUCAAUAAAAUUAGUAUGACCAUGAAUUAGAAUAUACAUACUGUUGUCGCCUCGCGUAUCAGGUGGACCACGUUGCUGCUAGAUGGAUAGACACGCGAUUCUCAACACACAAAGGGUUCUUGAUUCAGCGUUUGUACCUGCAAAAAGGCAUCCGGACAGGGUGUCCGGACGCACCCUCCGAUGGUUUUGUUAGCCAUGGUGAGGGAGAGAUAUAUAAAUCAGUUGGCCUUUUACUAGGUAUCAAGAGGUUACCAGGGGAUCAACCCUUUCUUCUUCGUGUGAAGUCAUAUAUAUACAGCUUCAGGGGUACUGCUCCUUUCAUUAAUGGUGAGGAGAUAUUUUAUGUUGUGAUGAUGAUAAUAGGUGUUAGUAGGAGCACUAUCAUCCUACGAAUGGCUGUCAGAGAUCGUGGUAGGUGAUGUGGUUGUCAGAGAUCGUGGGGAGUGAUUAUGUAGAAUGAUCGUGGGAAGUGACUUGCUGUCACUUCCUCUUGUCUUCUCAUUCUGCAGGUGAUGGGAUGGGGACCAUGGCUGCUUGUUGUGAUUGCGUGUAAGACUCGCUUUACUUUAAUUGACCAUCCAGACGAUUUAUAUCCGGAUGGAUCAUGCUGAUUAUCCGGAUGUGUUGUGGAGACUAUCCGGAUGUCUAUGCUCUGCCAGCGUCGUUUGCUCUUCCUUGGAUAGGAGAAGCUGAAACGUCGUUUGCCUUUCCCUGAGGUGGUCCGGAUAGGAUAACUGCACCAUGCAUAUCCUUAGGGGAAUCCGGAUGAUGAUGGUCCGGUUGAUAACACGUGCCACGCGUCACCAUGAGCUGCGUGCCACGUGUUUCCCAAGGGGAGGGGUCCCUACAUUGCCCCCCUUUUUAACUUGCCUAUUUUGCCCAAAAAAUGGGCGGGUUAAAAAUAACUGGGUUUUUGAAAAUUGAAAAAGUCCCUUCGACUGACUGGGCCACGUGGCGAGUGGGGGUGCGGAAGCCAAAAAGGCAUUUAUGACGAGCCGCCGACCCUGUGUAUCCCCAGGCAAUAUGUCGUUUCAAUGAUAACAUGGCUGUUGGUUUGGCUUUCCGAGGGGCUGUCCUGCUAUAAAUAGGGCACUGUACCUCUUUUUGCAAUUUUUCCUACUGCAUUCUCUUGAGAGCCUUUCUUCUUACUGCUUUUUCCUGCGUCCUUUGCUUCUAUGAGACAAACUUCGAAAGCUCUUUUGUACCGGUGCUUUUGUAUCGUGACUUUGUUUGUUUGCUGCUGGUGAUUUUGUAUCAAGGCAGUACCCGUUCUUCUUCUUCGGUGCUUUAUUUGGUACGUACCUCUUUGCUACUGCCAUUCCUUUGGUUGCAUUUGCUGGCUCUUUAAAUUUGUUUUCUGGCUUGCUUGGGUGUUGUUUUGGACGAGUCGUUUGCAAUUGUUGUUGAAUGUUGGUACUUUGUUGUUGUUUGGAGGGGUUUUUGAGGGGUUUUUCUGACUGUUUUGGGUUAGGGUUUGUGUAUUUUCUGACUACUUGGUUUGAUUCGUUGUAUUGCUUUUGUAUGUAGAUUUUGAUUUAGCUUUGUGGUAAGAAAUGGCUCCAAAAAAGACUGUUUCAUCUGUCCGGGUUAGCGAAGCUAGCGAAAAGGCGAUAAACAAAUUAAAUGCGAAGGAGUUCCGGGAGCGAUUCUGCAUCCCCCAUGACGUAUUGAUAGACUUGGUGAACGAGGAGGCGGCUAUGCCUACUGAGAAAGGUGGAGAAAAUGUUAUCCUCUUCACAAAGGAACAAUUCAACGCGGGGCUCCGGUUCCCUCUGCCGGCGUUGUUCAAGGAAUUCCUCCACUUCUCUCAGAUUCCACCCAUCUUCAUUCAUCCCAACCUUGUCCGGGUGCUGAUGGGAUGCAGCAUCAUCAACAUGCUGUACAGCCUCGACCUGACGCUACUGGAAGUGUUCUUUGUCUAUUCCCUGAAGAAAGCAAAGACUGAUAUCUUCAGUGUGUCCGCGCACCUGCCCUCCCUUCAAAUGGUGACAGAGCUGCCAGAUUUGACAAAGGGAGGGGCGAGGGGGCUGGUGGCAGUCCGGGGUGGAUGGGCGGGGCUAUCGGAGCAUCCGUCGAGGCCUUUUUCUCCAAAUUAUACCUUAAAAAUUCCGGGUAAUCUUGUUUUGCGAUUUUUUUUUUUUUUUUUUUUUUGUCCGGAUUUUGCUUUGCUAAUUUUUUCUGAUUUUUCCGGACUGAACUCUCACCUUUUGUUGCUGACAAUGCAGGUUUGGAAUUGAGGGGCCACCUUGUGGAUUGGGUGGAAAAGGCGUCCUUCGCCUGCGUCUGCAAAUUAUUCGAAAUAGAUCCCAAGGAGAGGGCCUACAAAACAUUGCUUUCCGCGCGGAAUUUGAUAGAGGUCGUCCGGGAGCCCCAGGAAUAUGUUAUCAAUAUUCUUCCUAGGAAACUGGCAAAUGAUGAGAUAGUGCCUGGGGAGCAUUAUACUGUGAAGGAGCUCCCCCUCUAUCAGGAAGCUAAAGAGGCUGACGCUGAAAGGCGGCGAAAGCUCCUGGAGGAUAGAGAUCAGAAAAAAACUGAAGGCACUAUCCGGAAGGCUCCCGGACAGAAGGGGGGUCCGGACCCUCCUUCAAAGAAAAUUCCAGGAAAGAGGGGGAAGCUAGUGAAGAAGCAUGGGAAGGAUGUGAAGGAACCCACUCCUCCCAAGGAGUUUCCUCCUCCACAAACUACCUAUGAGGGGGAAGUAAUGAUAGAGGAGCCAGUAAAUGCUGCUCCGCACUCUAUCUCAAGCGGCCCCGGACGCAUGUCGGGGUUGUAUCAUUCAGGCCCUUCCUUAGUCGCGGCUGCGCGUCUGGCUAACGUGGCUGAGGAAGCCGCAUCUAUCAACCAUCCGGGCAACCUUAAUCCGGAUGCUGAUGCAGCUGAAAUGGCCCCGUUGGAGGAAGCGGGGGCAGAAAGCCAAAGUCAGCCUUCCGACGACCCGGAUCGCUUGGCCAUAGUCCUGGUGAAAGGUCUUCCUCUCAAGAAGCCGCGUUUGACGCGCGAUCUACAGUCCGGACUCUUUGAGCGGCUUCAAGAGCGGCAGCAAGAGAUUGAAGUUAGCUGCGCUUCUGCCCAUGACGCUCAUCCGGAUGGAGGCGAGGUGGAGAUGGCAACUGAGACCUCAGCCGCCCCGGCAAUAAUUCCUGCUCAAGAUGCAUCCGGACACAUGUGUUCGGACGAAGAUGUGGGGGUUCCGAUUCCGGGACAAGAGUUACCUUCUGCUUCCUCAUCUGAGGAAGAACCUGCUGACGAUGCCGUUCCUGCUAGCCCCUUCAGCUACGCGGAGUUGGAAGUUAAGUUAAAGCAGAUUACUCCUGAUUGGAAAGCCAUCAAGCCCUCUACUAAGAUGUUUGAUAUGAUAGAAACGGUACACCGUUGUCUUGUGCUUUUGCUUUUUGAUUUUUUGUUGCACUGAUGUGUUUGUUGUAGUAUGACUUAUGUGUUUGCUUUUCUUGUUUGUGUGUCAGCUGGUGAGGGGCCUCCGCGGCAUGGCUCAACAACACGAUCUUUUUACUCAGCUGCUGCAGACUGCAGACUAUAUGAAGACCUUUUCCUCUAGGCGCCAAGAGAUUGAAAAUCAACUGCAUCUGAGAAUGGAGGAGGCUGAGGCCAGUCUAUCCACCAUGCGAGAGG